UACGGAGGGUGCAAGCGUUAUCCGGAUUCACUGGGUUUAAAGGGUGCGUAGGUGGGUUGCCAAGUCCGUGGUGAAAUCCCCGAGCUUAACUCGGGAACUGCCGUGGAUACUGGUAGCCUUGAAUAUCGUGGAGGUAAGCGGAAUAUGUCAUGUAGCGGUGAAAUGCAUAGAUAUGACAUAGAACACCAAUAGCGAAGGCAGCUUACUACACGAUCAUUGACACUGAGGCACGAAAGCGUGGGGAGCAAACAGG
rnacentral:rRNA from 1 species